CAAAGCUUAAUGUUGAUGAGUGAA
rnacentral:siRNA from 1 species